rnacentral:rRNA from 1 species
AGAGUUUGAUCCUGGCUCAGAACGAACGCUGGUGGCAGGCCUAACACAUGCAAGUCGAGCGAACAACCCACCAAGGUUGUUAGCGGCGAACGGGUGAGUAACACGUGAGAAUCUGCCUUGUUCAACGGGAUAGCUUAAGGAAACUUGAGGUAAUACUGUAUAAUUCCAAGAUUUUGGUAAAGAGAUCAAUCGGAACAAGAUGAGCUUGCGGUAGAUUAGUUAGUUGGUGGGGUAAAGGCCUACCAAGACAAUGAUCUAUAGCUGGUCUGGGAGGAUGAACAGCCACAUUGGGACUGAGACAAGGCCCAAACUUCUAUGGAGGGCAGCAGUGGGGAAUAUUGGACAAUGGGCGAAAGCCUGAUCCAGCCAUGCCACAUGAGUAACGAAGAUCCUACAAAAAAAGGUGUAUAUGCACCUUGGGAUUGUAAAACUCUGUUUGUUUUGUGAUAAUAAUGAUAGUAACUGAACAAAAAAGCUCCGGCCAACUUCGUGCCAGCAGCCGCGGUAAUACGAGGGGAGCGAGUGUUGUUCGGUUUUAUUGGGCGUAAAGGGUAUGUAGGCGGUUUUGUAAGUCAACGAUUAAAUCUUGAAGCUUAACUUCAUUAGCUGGUUGUUGAUACUGCAUAACUAUGAACUUAAUAGGGGUGAACACAAUUCCAAGUGUAGAGGUGAAAUUCGUUGAUAUUUGGAGGAGUACCAAAGGCGAAGGCAGUUCAUUGGGUUAAGUUGACGCUGAGGUACGAAAGCGUGGGGAGCAAACAGGAUUAGAUACCCUGGUAGUCCACGCCCUAAACGAUGAGUGCUAACAGUUGGGUGUAAAUGUAUCCAAGAAAGUACAUCUUCGGAUAUACCAAAGGUUACAUGUUUAUGUUUGAUUGUAUAGCUAACGCGUUAAGCACUCCGCCUGGGGAUUACGACCGCAAGGUUAAAACUCAAAGGAAUUGACGGAGAUCCGCACAAGCGGUGGAGCAUGUGGUUUAAUUCGAAUCUACACGAAGAACCUUACCAGCUCUUGACAUUUUAGGUUAAACAUGUUAGAAAUAAUAUGCCGCUUACAA